rfam:Danio rerio chromosome 4, GRCz11 reference primary assembly.
CCAACGGCUCUUUUAAGAGCCAUUUCCCCUUGCAAAUAUGCAUAAA